UCCCUCUCAGGACUGCACCUGGAGAGUUUCCAGUACUCCACCAGUCUUGCCUUCGGGAGGGAGAGUCAAGCCGAGGCAUACCCAUUCCAUUCCUGGCUUGGGAAGUGGCUAGCGAGUGGAAGGCAAUCGGUUACAAGU